AAACUUAAGAGUUUGAUUCUGGCUCAGGAUGAACGCUGGCGGCGUGCUUAACACAUGCAAGUCGAAUGUAGUUUACUACAUGGCGGACGGGUGAGUAACGCGUGAGCAAUCUGCCCAUAUCAGGGGGAUAACAGUUGGAAACGACUGAUAAUACCGCAUAAUAUUGUUGGAAGGCAUCUUCCGACAAUCAAAGAUUUAUCGGAUAUGGAUGAGCUCGCGUCUGAUUAGCUAGUUGGUGAGGUAACGGCCCACCAAGGCGACGAUCAGUAGCCGACCUGAGAGGGUGAUCGGCCACAUUGGGACUGAGACACGGCCCAAACUCCUACGGGAGGCAGCAGUGGGGAAUAUUGCACAAUGGGGGAAAC
rnacentral:rRNA from 1 species